GACGAACGCUGGCGGCGUGCUUAACACAUGCAAGUCGAGCGGUAAGGCCCUUUCGGGGGUACACGAGCGGCGAACGGGUGAGUAACACGUGGGUGACCUGCCCUCAGCUCUGGGAUAAGCCUGGGAAACCGGGUCUAAUACCGGAUAUGACUCCAUGACGCAUGUUGUGGGGUGGAAAGCCUUGUGCGGCUGAGGAUGGGCCCGCGGCCUAUCAGCUUGUUGGUGGGGUGAUGGCCUACCAAGGCGACGAUCAGUAGCUGGUCUGAGAGGAUGAUCAGCCACAUUGGGACUGAGACACGGCCCAAACUCCUACGGGAGGCAGCAGUGGGGAAUAUUGGACAAUGGGCGAAAGCCUGAUCCAGCCAUGCCGCGUGAGUGAUGAAGGCCUUAGGGUU
rnacentral:rRNA from 1 species